rnacentral:rRNA from 2 species
GACGAAAGUCUGACGGAGCAACGCCGCGUGAGUGAUGAAGGUUUUCGGAUCGUAAAGCUCUGUGGUUAGGGAAGAACAAGUGCGAGAGUAACUGCUCGCACCUUGACGGUACCUAACCAGAAAGCCACGGCUAACUACGUGCCAGCAGCCGCGGUAAUACGUAGGUGGCAAGCGUUGUCCGGAAUUAUUGGGCGUAAAGGGCUCGCAGGCGGUUUCUUAAGUCUGAUGUGAAAGCCCCCGGCUCAACCCGGGGAGGGUCAUUGGAAACUGGGAAACUUGAGUGCAGAAGAGGAGAGUGGAAUUCCACGUGUAGCGGUGAAAUGCGUAGAGAUGUGGAGGAACACCAGUGGCGAAGGCGACUCUCUGGUCUGUAACUGACGCUGAGGAGCGAAAGCGUGGGGAGCGAACAGGAUUAGAUACCCUGGUAGUCCACGCCGUAAACGAUGAGUGCUAAGUGUUAGGGGGUUUCCGCCCCUUAGUGCUGCAGCUAACGCAUUAAGCACUCCGCCUGGGGAGUACGGUCGCAAGACUGAAACUCAAAGGAAUUGACGGGGGCCCGCACAAGCGGUGGAGCAUGUGGUUUAAUUCGAAGCAACGCGAAGAACCUUACCAGGUCUUGACAUCCUCUGACAACCCUAGAGAUAGGGCUUUCCCUUCGGGGACAGAGUGACAGGUGGUGCAUGGUUGUCGUCAGCUCGUGUCGUGAGAUGUUGGGUUAAGUCCCGCAACGAGCGCACCCCUUGAUCU